rnacentral:rRNA from 1 species
UUUAUUUAAUUCUGGUAAUGGGAGAGUGCUUUGCGUAUGUUCACAUAGAGAGUUUUUAGUCUGUUGAUGUGGUGUUUGCGUCAGUUUCUAGUGGUUGGUUCUCUUUUUAGGGGGUAACCCCUGUGGGGCGUUUGGGCGUGAAGGGGUGAAUUCUCAGUGCCAGCAACUGCGGUUAUUCUGUAAUCUUCUUUCUCCCGGUUGGUUUAAAGUAUUUUGUGGUAAGUUUCUGGGGGUAGGUAGAAAUUUCCCAGGUUUGAAAUGAUCCGCGAGAGUCGUUUUAUUUUCCAUUUUUAAAAUAGGAUUAGAUACCCUAGUAUAUGGAGGUGGAAUUUUAUCCAUGGUUUUAACUAAAAGGUUUUGGCAGCCGAAGAAGUUCUUCCAGGGGAACGUGUCUUAUAAAAGAUGGUCCGCUUAGUAGCUUUCCCCACUUAGUUUCGUUAGUGUAUAUCCGAUUAGUUAUUUGUGGUUUGUGCCAAUGUGUGUUUGUUUGCUGUUACAUAAGUCAGGUCAAUGUGCUGCUAAUAGUGGGGUUUUGGUGCGUUACAUUAUAAAGUUUUUCUUUGAAAUAUGAGAGGAUUUAGGACUUGGAAGUAGUUGGGGGGCAGGUUUCUCCGGCGAAUAUGACUUAUUUGGGGUACACAUCGCCCGUCACUCACAGUGCUUAGCUAUGAAAAGUCGUAACAUGGUAACAGCGGGGGAACCGGCUGUUAAUAGGCUAUUCGUGUUUAUUUCGGUAGGUU